rnacentral:rRNA from 1 species
AUAUACUUUCUUUAUUUUAUAUAAAUAAAUUAAUUUUUUAGUUAAAAAGCUAAGAUUUUUUUAUAGGACGAGAAGACCCUAUAGAACUUUAUUUUCUACAUAUAUAUAUUUUAUAGAUUUUUAAAAUAUUAUAUAUUAAUAGUUAAUUUAAUUGGGGUGAUUGAAAAAAUUAUAUAACUUUUUCUNUUUCUAUCAUUUAUUUAUGAUGUUUUUGAUCCUUUAAUAUGGAAAAUAAGAUUAAGUUACCUUAGGGAUAACAGCGU